GUGGUUGUUUGGGCAACGUGGACAUGGUUUAGAUUUGCAGGUAUCCAGCUUCAGCUCUCCACUGAGGCAGAUUAUGGUUUUACUGCAGGAGCCAUCGCCUUCCUGGUCAUCAAUGCUUUUCUUAUAUUGAUUGCUGCUUAUAGAAACCUGGUUCUUCUGUUUCUAACAACACUCAUGGAGGUGGUUCUGGUCUGCUUCCUUCUCUCCACCCUACACAAACUGCCAUAUGAGCUUGAAA